GGACGUGCCAGUCGUGGAAGGGGCCAUGGCCUCGAGCAGCUCUUUGGAGGAGUGUGUUGGCCAUGACAGCAGUGCAGACAGGACCCCACAGAAGGCUGCGAAAAGCAGCCAGCCCACCUCAACACCUGACAUCCCCCUUUGAGGCCCCCAGUGCCACAGCCUUAGUCAACAAGAUCUGGAUCCCAAGGAAGCCCAGGGCUGGCUCCCCCCAUUCAUUGCAAGAUGAAUGCCACCAGCUUCCAGAGAAACAUGCUUCAGUGACAAUAUCCAGAAGGAAGAGGGCUUCUCUUGCUUCAGCAACCAGACAACAAUCUUUUGCUAGACUUCAGAGCAACUCUGGUCCUGUGCAGUGCUCAUCACGUGGCCUGAGAAAUAGUCUGAGUGGUUUGAGGCUGGACCAUGCACCUUCCCCUAAAUUAAUAAUGGAGUUGAGAGACAUAUAUGUCAAGAGGGUGAUGCCAGUGGCUCAGACUGGUUGUGACCCCCUUUGAACUGGAGGUGGGCCCCCCUAUCCAGCCCGGAUAGCUGCUACACUCUGGAGGGAGGUGGAAUGAAAGUUGGAAAGAUGCAGUGAGCAACGCUCUGUCAGUGCACUUCCAAAGACCCUGGGGCAAAAUACGGAGGUGAGCGUCUCCCCCAUACCUAACCUUAUCCUGUUUCCUUUCCUGCCUGACUGUUAGCACGUUUUUACAGACAAUGAUUUACAGACUGAUACAUUGGUGCUGGGAAGCAAACAAGUUUCUGUCUUAUUGCUUAGGUCCCAUUUCAAUUCCAGUAUUAUAAAAGUAUUGAUAUGGGAGCAAUUUGAUAUCAACUGAAUCUGACAGCUAUAUGACAGCAACUCUUCACAUCAGAGUUCACAAUGUGCUUCCUUUAUUGCUCCAAAUAAUCGUCUGAUGUGGGUCAGAUGAGCAUUAUCUCUAUUGUGUAGAACAGGCAACUGAGACUCAAGGAGACAAAGUGACUUCUCCAAGGUCACACAGCGAGGACACAGCAGAAGUGGGACUCAAAGCUGUUUUCUGACUGGAGAUCCAAACUGCCUAGAAAGGUGUUGGCUUCUUGUCUUGGUGUGGAAUGACUUCACCAUCAGGAAGUAGAAAAAGGCCUCUUUCCUUCCUGAGAGCAUUCACGUUGGACCCCCCUGCGUGGCAUGAGCUCCCCUCCCUGGAGCUGAGACCCUGUGCCUGCUUGGAAGUAUACAGUGGAUGGAAGGCAACUUAAAUGCUCUGAGUUUCCGUCUAGUUCUGAGGUUCUGGGCUCCAAACUCUGGAAGCCUGGCACUUCCCUGGGUCCAUCUAUACACCUGGGAGGUCCUAUUGGAUUGUCACAACUGUAGGAGGAAGAAACUCCUGCUCCCCAGAGGGCCACGUUUGCAGCUCGUGGUGUGACUGAGGCACGGAAGCUCCCAAGGGCGCUUAAACCAUAUACAUCUGACGCCUGGAUGCUGAUUUGGAGGAAGGCACUGAGCUCAUGACAUCAUAAUUAUUUGGUUCUCUUGCACUGAAACAUCCCACAACUGACAGUAAUUACCAAGUCCUGCCUGAAAUGACAUUUUCUUCAAAACAUGAGAAGACAUUCUGAAUUUUCUCUUAAUUUCCAUCUUCCUUCCCUGCCUCUCUCUGCCCCACCUCCCACUCUGCUCAUGGUUUGGGUGCAGCCCACCCCACUUUCCACUUCCCCCACCGUGCCCUUUCUCUCCUCAUUUGACCCCACAACACUCCUCCUGACUUCCCGUUCUCUGGCCAGGAGCAAAUAUGGAGCUGAGGGCACCA